CCUACGGGAGGCAGCAGUGGGGGAUAUUGCACAAUGGGGGAAACCCUGAUGCAGCGACGCCGCGUGAGUGAAGAAGUAUUUCGGUAUGUAAAGCUCUAUCAGCAGGGAAGAAAAUGACAGUACCUGACUAAGAAGCCCCGGCUAACUACGUGCCAGCAGCCGCGGUAAUACGUAGGGGGCAAGCGUUAUCCGGAUUUACUGGGUGUAAAGGGAGCGUAGACGGGUGUGUAAGUCUGAAGUGAAAGCCCGGGGCCCAACUGCGGGACUGCUUUGGAAACUGUGUAGCUGGAGUACAGGAGGGGUAGGCGGAAUUCCUGGUGUAGCGGUGAAAUGCGUAGAUAUCAGGAGGAACACCGGUGGCGAAGGCGGCUUACUGGACUGCAACUGACGUUGAGGCUCGAAAGCGUGGGGAGCAAACAGGAUUAGAUACCCGUGUAGUC
rnacentral:rRNA from 1 species